AGACCCUGUCUCAAAAUAAAAAACGAGAGGAGAAAAUAAAUCUGGGGGUGUAACCCAGUGCGAAUGCCCUGCUUCAAUCCCUGGUACUGCGUGAGGAGGUAGAAAUUAUUUUUCUUUUUAACUCUCAUUCUCACUGGCGUGUACAGAGGAAUUUUCAAGAAGUUAGAUGAGACAACCAGGCGUGGUGACACACAGUCCUGUAAUCUCAGUACCUGGGAGGCUGAGGCAGGAGAAUCACUGCGAGUUCAAAACCAGCUGAGCCACAAAGUGAGCUCAAAGCCAUCCUGAACUGCAUAGCCAGACCCUGUCUCUAAAAGACAAAGAAAAGAGAAAAAAGAUUAGAAAGGAUAUGAUUGCUCUCUCAGCUGGUGAAAAGUAUUUUUGUGCUUUGUAGAAUUUACUUACAUCUCAUACUGAGAAUCGUACCCACACCUUUGACUAUGGUUAAUAGGCAACCACUGUACACCAAGCUACAUCCCCAGCCCAAGAAUGCUUUGUAAUUUGUUAAAAAUGUUUCGAAUACUAAACUUGUCCAAAACUGAGAUUCUUUUAGAAUUUAAUAUUUUAUCCCCAAAUAAGGUUUUGCUUAUACGUUUUUUAAAAUUUUAGGAUCUUUUACUGUUGUAUAAGGGGGAGUUUGUGAUGGAUUCCACCCACAUGAAACUCAGGGUGGUGGCUGCCAACCUGGCUCUGGACCCUAGAGGAACAGUGUGUCUCUUCAAUACUGACUUACGAGUUCUUUUUCCAAGCCUGAGAUUAAACUUCCUACUUUUCAUGCAUGCCAGCAUUCCCCCAGUCAGUUGUCAAUAUGUUGUUCUGCUGGUCUUUUCAAACUCCACCCCCUGUCCAACUCGAUGAAGGCCUACCACUUCUUUGUCUACCUUAAAGGGAUCUUGCACUCUGCUGCAGCCCUCCCGUACCUACAAUAAAGGCCUUUUUUCCCUUUUCCCCCUAUUUCUGCUCUUGCUUCUCUACUGCACCAAUGAAAAACAUAACAGCUUAAAGAUUUGCUUUCUAGCUUUCUCAUAUCUAAAGAUAUUGGGAAAAUGAUGUUAAUAACAUCAGUAUCAGACAAUUGACACAGGAAGGGGAAGAUCUGGUAAAAGUGUUACUAAGGGAAGUAUGACAAAAGCUGCUUUCUUUUCUCUGAGCUUUGGAGAUGUUAAUCAUUUUCUUGUAUCUCGUUCAACAAAUUUUUUAUGAAUAUAGUACUGUUAUAGUGCCACUUGAAUUGAGACAUCAUUUUGAGACCACCAGAAUUUAAAAGAAAGAAAAUUUGGGCUGGGGAUUUAGCUCAGUGGCAUAAGCACCUGCCUUGCAAGCAGGCAGUCGUGAGUUAGAUCCCUGGUACCCAUAAAAAGGAAAAAGACAAAAAAAAUAAAAGAAAGAAAAUUCAGUAUUUUAAACAUAGACAUGAUGAGCUUUAUUAAAACUCAAGCUUUUGGCUAGGGAUUUAGCUCAGUGGUGUAAAGUGCCUGCCUGGCAAGCAUGAGGUUGUGAAUUUAAUCCCCAGUACCAAAAAAAAAAAAAAAAAAAAAAGCUUUCUAGGUAGUUUUCAAAAUAGAAAUGAAAAACUCAGUGAUAUGUUAAAAGUAGAUAUGAAAAACUUCAUGAUAUGCUAUUGUAACACAUUGUCUAGAGAAAGGCAUACAAUAGCUAAAAGACCAAGUGAGCUUUGGACAUUACUGGAUGCAUCCUUACUGAAUGAAAAAUUGGUAAAAGAAAUCAUGGCAGUGGGAUUUUCCAAAGAUGCAGUAACUCACCAGAAAUUUCUAUAAACUUGCAGUAAUCAAGACAGUGCAGUAUUGGGUAAAGAUAGACUUACACAUCAAACAAUUGAGAGUUCAGAAAUAAACUCUUAGUGUAUGACUUGUUGAACUUUUAUGCAGUAGCACAGAGAGGAUAAUCUUUUCAACAAUUGGAUAUUGAUAACAAAAAGGGGGAAAAAAGGAACUGAACUUAGACUCUUUGUGCUACAUACAAAUGUUCAUAGCAAUAUUAUUCUCAGAAGGCAACUAAAGAAUAGAUAAGUAAAAUGUGAAUGUUGUCAUUUGGCGCUCAGAAGGCAUGAAGCACUGAUACAUACUGCAUAGAACAUGGUUGAACCUUGAAGACUCUACAGUAAAUGACACCAGUCACAAUUGGCAACAUGUUAUACGAUUGCAUUUGUAUGAAAUUACCAGAAAAGCAAAUCAGUAGAGACAGAAAGCAGAUCAGUAGUUGUGAGGCUGAAUAUGAAAAAUAAAGAUUGACUUCAGAGAAUCUGGAGCCAAUUCAAAAACUUUAUUGUUCCUUGAUUGAUGUGUUUGGAAAUUUUUUUUUCUCUUUGAAAUAAAAUGGAUUUGAAAAAAAACUUGUGUCAGUGACAGUACAAUGCUACAAAUUUACUAAAAAUUACAAUGGUUGAAGUUCUGUGGAAUAUAAAUAUAUUUUAUAUUUCAAAAAAACUAAGAAUUAAUGAAUUUCAGCAGUGCAUGUUCAUGUUGAUUGUUUACACAGCUUCCUCCACCCCUAACUGCAGGUUAGUGACCAGAAAUGCAAGCAGAAAUAUAAUUUGUUUAGGAAACAGUCAGAGAAUGGUGGUGCACACCUGUACGUCUAACACUCAUGAGGCUGAGGCAGGAGGAUCUAUAUGGGUAUGAGCCAGGACUACAUAGUUCAAGGGCAGCCUGAACUGCAUAGUGAGACUCUGUCUCAAAAAAGAUAAAAUAAUAAUAAUAGUAAUAGUAAUGCACUGAGGAGGGUCCGUAGAGGCUGACCAGAGAGAGAAGCCAUAGGAAUGUCAAGAAGUUGGUCAGGAAGGCUUCCUACUGGAGAAGGAGACUUCUGGAUGAUGGUUAGAGAAUGGUAGUGGUGGAGACUUAGGCAACUUUAUUGAUUUAUUUUGGAGCUAUUUUGAAAUGCCUUGCUAUAGUUCAGACUAGCCUUGAACUCACUGUGCAGCCCACUCUGGCAAGGACUGGGAUUACAGUGCCACACACUCCAGGUUGAUUCCCCAGUUCCCACAGAGAACACAAUCCCACACUCGUGCCCAAGAGGGCACCAGAGAGCCAAGACCCGGAGGUGACUGCAGACAUUCCCAGCUCCGGCUGUAAAUUCAUUCCAAAUCUGACCCAUGUCCUUUCCAAACCAGGACACUCCAUUUCCUUUUAUUUUCUUUCUGGAGAGUGGGAGGAGAGAAUUUACUUGAUCUGAAAGUGUAGCGGGGAGAGCCAAGGGCUGCUCCCCACAGGAGAGGUGGCCAAAAGAAACACCCUAGAAGAGGGUUUCCAGGAUGACACGGGCUAUUUUCUUCCUCUCCCACAGUGACUCAGAUUCACAUUUCACACAGCCCUUUUUCUGUGUUUUCUGCCCCCUCCCCUGACCUCUGGCCGGCAGAGUGCGUUUGCAAUGUUUUCCCAACCCCAGUCCCAGGCCUAGAUCAGCCAGGUCAAAACAUCAACUGGCAGAGCUCCCAGGGUCAGCUUGGGGGGGGGGGGUGUCAGUUCCAACUCCAACAAAACCUUUGCAAUGCAAAUCCCUAUUCCUCCCAGAGUCCUCCCAGCCCAUCCCUGUCUAAUCUAUUUCAAGCCACAGACUGUGAAAUAAAACUGCUCCAUACCAUGUAUUUAGAUAGCCUGGUUUGAGCUGCUUAUAAGAUUUCUUUUCCCUAAGGAGCUUAAUAAAUUGAGGCAAACACAGAGCCCUUUGGGCAGAAUUUUCCCACGUGCACUCAUCUUAAAACUUCAAUUCCCAGGAAAUCUGUGUGAGGACUUUUCUCCUCCUAGUCUACCAGGUCAGGAUAAAAAAAGGAGAUAAACUCCAGAAAGGAUAUCAGGGACCUUCCCAGAAGAAAAAGAGGUACUUAGCAUUUGAUUAGGCCCUGACCCAGAGUGGCUGUAGAAGGGAUCAGAAGUAAAACAAACAAAAGUAAUGUUCCAAUCAGGGUGGUGGGGCAUAUCUGUAAUCCCAGUGCUCUGAGAUAAAUUUGAGCUCAGCCUGGGCAACCUGCAAUUUGGCAAAAACCUUGUCUCAAAAAUAAAUAUAAGCCAGGGGAUAUAACUGUGUGCAAAGACCGUAAAUUCAGUCCCUGGUAACAUACAUGCACACACACAUGCACACAGAACAUUAGAUAAAGGUGAUAAUAUCAUUGGGAAAUUGGUCCCUUGUUCCUUGAUCCUUUUACAUCCUCAAAAUAGUUCAGUGAAGACACAUAGAAGUAUAGAUAGACUUUACUGUAUAAUGGAUAAACUGGGUGUGGUGGCAAACACCUAUAAUCCUAGCACUUGAGGCUGAGUCAGGAGGCUUGCUGUGAAUUUGAGACCAGCAUAAACUACAUUGUGAGUUAAGACCAGCCUGCACUACAUAACAAGACCUUGUCUCAAAAAUAAAAAAUCAAUAUAUUCUAUAAUGGACUUAGAGAGAAGGUAGGCAGUGUCACAAAGAUGUCUAGACCGAGUGCGAGUUUAGGUAUGUUUUUAUGCACAUUCAGAGUUACUCCUUGGGUUUAGAAAACUAUGGUGAUGGUCAGUGUUCUAUUUGCAUGAUGUAUGUGCUUAUUGACAUUUCUCUUAUAGGUCACUUUGGAGGGUCAUUAUCUCAGAAGCAUGUACUUUGUUCCUUUAUGGUGGUCAGUGUUUCCUUUGGGCCCUUAAUCAUAGAGGAAUCCACAUCAGGUCUCAACCCAAAGAGGGAGGGUCUUCAAAGAGUGCUCCUCUUCCUGCUGUCAUUGGAUACAGGCCUUGGUGCUCAGGAAGGCUACCUGCCUACCUUUGGAAAUAGCCAGCCAGGUGGCCAGGUGUCAGAAAGAAUGUGCACAAUAAGUGACCUUGACCUGUCAUUGUGCUCUAUGCAGCCACUUUAGGUCUGAGACCAAACAAAUGGUUAUGAAUGAAUUCUGCAUUGAAGUCUCUAUUUCUUUACUUAACUAUCACUGGCGGAGCACAGUAUUAUAGACCUCCAUCCUCGGCCCUCAGCCCCACGAUUGUCUAAAUACAUUCCCACCAACAGUAUGCACUGGGGAACCCCGAGGCCACUACUGAGAAUCAUCAAGUCUUCAGAAAUGACAGAGCCUGUAUCCAAGGUCAGCAGUAGUUCUUACACACUGCUUGGAGCCUCGGUGUUGAAGGAAACGUUUCUUUCUCCCUCCCUCCCUUCCUCUCUCCCUUUCUCCCUCUCUCUCUUCCUCCCUGUCUCCUUCUCUGGUCUAUAAAAUAGAAGAUUAACAAGAUUUCUGAAGUGAACAUUUAGCCUUCCCACUACUUCCUCACCUUAUUUCUCCCCACCCUGAAAGAGACAGUCAUGAUCACCAAUUCAGGAUCUAUUCUGCCUGCGCACGGAACCAGCCAGCAUUCAGGAGAGAAAGGUGAGUGGCAGGAAAAUCAGGUUUUAUUAACAUAAGCUAACUGAUAAGGGAAAAUGGCCCAACUCCAGUCCAAGUGGACGUUUCACAAGAGCACAAGGGCAGAAAGGCUGUGCCAGGUUGUGCGUCCUCCAGGGCUGUUCCUCUUGGUGCUGCUCUCCUUUAUACACCAAAGUGAUCUCCAGGCAAGGGAAGCAUUCUUAGUCUUUUACUUAGACAACGGGACUUGCAGAUCUUGGCCCACACUAUGAUCUCAUUGGAAGCCCACCAGAUGUUCUGGGUUCUGAAAAACUAAAGGCUGCUAAUCAGGAGGACUGGGAACCAAUAUUUUUCCUUUAGUUCCCUUUUCUUGGAAUAGUUGACUCUGGGAGUUAAUAUUUCAGCCAUUUCAAAUGUUGUUUUCUUUCUUUUAUUAGUUCCAGUGCUGGGCAAAGAAAAAGAAUGACUUUAGAAGAUGCAGUUUUGCAAGGUGAAGCUAGUUUUGAAUAGGGUGCUGGAAAGCAAAUCAGCACAGCCAUUGGUAUCCCCUCAUCUCCUCAUUCUGCACCCACCCCACCUGCAGAGAACCCACACCCCUCUGCUUCCCAAGAGGCCUGAGUCCAGUGUUAAGAAGUCUGGCAACGAGGCUCAAUCUGUGGCCUCCCAUCAAAGCCCAAACUUUGGUGUUAAUUUCUUAGUAGGCUUUGAAUCGUUAUCUAUUCACUCGCUCAUUUAUUUAUUCAAGGUCUCACUAUGUAGCGCAUGGCACGGUGCUCUUUCUCUCUCACUUCCCCUGAGUGCUGGGAUUGCAGCAGGCAUGUGCCACUACACCAGACUUGAGGCAGGAGAUUAGGGUGUGGCCAACUGGCUAAGCAAGUGGGUGUAACCUGUCAAUCACAGAAAUCUGCAACACAUGCAGAUGUGGGGCUAGAUGUGGGGCUAGUUCCCCAGCCCCACAUCUAGCACCAAUCAGAAAGUACCAUCUUCAGUUCAUGCUGGUAGGCACUGCAUCACUGAGCUAAAUCCCUGGCCCCUUCUUCAGUUCUGGCACAAAAGCAAGCAGGUUUUUGAUAGGAUGGCCUAGAUCUGAUGUAGCCUGAAGAGUGAAGGAUACAAAAGACUUCCAGAAUUAACCUCAUAACCUCUUGACCUGCUCUCAUCUACAGAAUGUACUUCGUUUCCUACCUUUAAUAACCGUAAAACCUCAUUACCGUUUUCAUGUGUCUUGUCCAAUUCCUUGUUCAGGACACCAACGACCUGGAAAGUGUCUACUGAACUCCAGAAUCUGGUAACAGGUUCUAGAGGUUCAAGAAUUUAGAAUGGCCAAGGAUUUAGCUCAGUGACCUAAGCAGCUGCCUGGCAAGUGCAAGGUUGUGAGUUUGAUCCCUGAUACCAAAAAGAAAAAGAAAAAAGAAUUUAGAAGGGCCAGAGAUUUAGCUCAGCAGGCAUAAGUGCAGGCCUGCCUGGCAAGCACAAGGUUGUGAAUUCAAUCCCCAGUAAAAAAAAACAAAGAAAACUUAGAAGGGCUAAGGACUUUAUUUCUUGGUCUCUUCAAGGCUCCAAACUAAGACUUGAAAUAGCUCUGACAUAGCAAAAUUUGAAAACCAUUGAGGACACAAGGAAAUUCUCUCAGGAGGCUGAAUUCACUGAACACCUCCAGGCGAGGGCCGAGCCUCUCUGGCAAAGACAGACAGCACCUAUCCUACAGAGAAUGACGUGGUGCCCAGAGGACACACAUGAAAUGCAAGGAGGAAGAGCCUGCUUCCCUGGAGCCAGGAAUGGGGACCAGAAGAGAGUUAAAGUCCCAGCUCUUAAAAGAUUCUCAGCCAGGGGCUGGGGAUUUAGUUCAGCAGCAUAAGCAACUGCCUGGCAUGCACAAAGUCAUGAGUUCAAGCCCUGAUACCAAAAAAAAAAAAAAAAAAAAAAAAAAAAAAAAAAAAAAAAGAUUAUCAGCCUUUAUGUAGAUAGAAUAGAAAGAAAAAAAAAGAUAGGUAAAUGGAAACAAGAAAAUCAGAACUGAAAAUUGUAUCUUUAAGAAGACUGUAAUUUUUGAGAGCCAGCUGACAUCUGCAUUGGUUAAAUUUAGGCUACCCCAUUCCUGACCAGCAGACCCCAAGCUCCCCAGGAAUACUGAAAGCUCAAACAUUGGCUUCAUGGACAAAGUCAAGAGCAGGAACCCAAUCCUGAGAUAAAGGGACAGAUUGAGAGUCCACAGAAUGUUUUGGUCAUCUGUCUUGAUAGAUAAACCUGUCCUUGCAGCAGGCCAGUGCCUGUCUGGCUGGGCCACAUUUCCCCAGGGUUUCCACCACUCAGGAGAAGCAGGAAUGGUCCCAGUUCCAGAACACAGGCGCCUCUCUCCUGCAGGGCCUGCUCUCUACCUCUCUGACUGAGAACCUUUUCACUUCUGCCUGAUAAACCCUUCCCAUGCUGGUUACUGAGGAAUCCUGGAAAUUCUAUUUCCCCUAAGAGAGUCAGAGAAGCUGUGUGGAUGCCUUAGGUCCCUUAUCUCACCUUCAGGGAUUCCUAGGACCCUGUGUGGUGACAUUUACCAUUUUGAGCCUUGGUUUCCUUAUUUGUAAAUAAACAAGAUUCCUAUCUACCUUUGAGUACUGUGAGAUUGCAGGCAAAUGAUCUUAUUUUACACUGAAUGUUAGAGCAGUAGAAACAACAUAAUAUGAAAAUGGAGAGAGAUUAUGGUUUGGUUUGGUUUCGCUCUAGCAAUGGGGAUUGAAUCCCAGACUACACAUCCCCAGCCCUUUAAAAAAAUUAUUUUUUAAAUUUUGAGACAACACCUGACUAAAUUGCUAAAUUACCCAGGCUGGACUUGAAUUUUUGGCUCUCCUGCCUCAGCCUCCUGGAGUGCUGGGAUCACAGGUGUGUGCCAGCACAGCUGGUGGAAGUGGGCACCAACAGACACUGUGGGGUGGAGGUGCUGUAUUGCGUUUACUCCUCCUGAUCUACUCUCCACGCCAUUGAAUUUUCCCCAGCCAUCAGUGGCCCCUUACCUUCUUGCCCUGGGUGAAUUAAUCAGUGCAGUCUGAACAGUACAGAAUAGUACAGAGGAGACAGGGCUGAUGGGACAGGUUCCCCAGUGCCCUCCCUGCAGGGGCUUCUGACUCUGUGGGGCUCACAACUUCUAUCCCACUGCACCCCCUCACCAACAGCACAGCCACCCAGGGAGCUCAGAGACCGAGGGAAGGCUAAGUCAUCCGGGUGAUUCUCACACACACCAAAGACUGAGAGUCAAAGUCUUGAGGAGCUAUGCAUCUUCUUUUGUCCUGAGACUAACCCAGGAUGGUGCCCAGUCCCCCGUGGCCACUCCAAAAUGCUGUUUACCUUCCCUUUGUAAAUCAUGUUUUUAUUACAACUUCCUCAAGUUACUCACUAUGACUUUGCUGUCAUUUCCUGCAGCAUUCUGAGGCUGUACGAGGGACUUCUUUGGAUCUCAAAAUAGACAAGUGACUGUUUUGUGUUUUGGUAGGAAAGAGGCAGCCCACUGACUGAGCAAGGUGGGACAAACUCAAACAAGGCGACCUACUUGGACACAGUGGUGGACUCAAACUCCCCAAAUGCUGGAGGCACAAGCUCCCAGGGAGUCCCUGAAGAUGUCACAUCCUUAGGAGACAGAUGGCUAAACCUAAGGUUGUGCAUGGGCUCAGGCCAUCAUGUUGGUUUCUGGACAGGGCUUUAGGUAAAAGUAGAAAACUGCUAAAAUACGCUGCUAUUCACAAAAGGAAGCUGCUGUUCUUUUCUUUCUUUGUUUAAGGCCAAGCCCGUGGUGAACGAGACUUAUUCUUGGUUUCACCCACUGUAGAAGUUGUGUGGACGUCAACAUAACCUCCUAACAGCUCAGAGGUAAACAAAGUCGGGGCCGCUCUGAUGGAGUCUGCAAUCACAGGCUGCACUGGGUGUUGUUUCCUUCCAUUUCUGGUCAGAAGGACUCUCCUUGUUUUUAUGGCAGAAAUACCAGGAGUGAUCUAGAAAGCAUGCUUGUGGUUCAGAGAGGUUGGGAUGGCACCAGGAGGAGAGAGUGAGUGAGGAGCUUGUGCCAGCAAGUCUUGUCCUUUGGAAACGUUGAGUCUGGAACCAGGGAUAAAAUGAAACAGGAAGCAUGAAGGCACUUUGAAAAUACAAAUAUGCCAGCAGGGCAUGGUGGCUCACGCCUAUAAUCCCAGCACUCGGGAGGCUGAAGCAGGAGGAUCAUUGCGAGUUCGAGACCAGCCUGCUCUACAAAGUGAACUCAAGACCAGCCUGGACUGUAUAGUGAGACCCUGUCUCAAAAAGACAAAAAAGAAAGAAAGAAAAUACAAAUAUGCCAUGCAAAUAUAAAUGAAUAUGACUGUGGAUAGAAAUCAGGAACUGCUCAUCUUAGUUACUUUUCUUGUUGCUGAAACAAAAUACCCAAUACCCAAAGUUAAAGGGGGAGAGUUUGUGUAGCUCACAGUUUGUAGCAGUUUCGGUUCAUCAUCGGCUGGCUGUCGGGCAGGAUGGAAUGGCAGAAUGGCACUGCAGAGGAGAAACAGCCCACAGCAGGGAGAAGGCAGCAAAGCAAGGAAGGAGGCAACCACAGCUCUUUCUGUCCCUCAUGUCUUAGCCAGGUUGUUUAGCACAGGCUGCACCCUUAAUCUGAGGGCCCUUGAUCCUAGCAUUGUACCGGGAAUCAGUCCCAGGGUCUCAUACACUAGCUCCAGCCGUCUCUGAAGAAGCCCCCCUAUGACUGCAUGAGGCUUUGGGGGACAUCCAAACUCAAGCUGUAGGGCGCCAAAAUAGUGAUUUAUUCAGAAUUACCAACUACUUGGAGUUAACUAUUUGAGGAACAAGUGCAAAGAAACACGAUGGUGUCGCGUCUUAAACUUGCUAAGUACUUUUUACAUUAUUUGUACGUGUUCUGGCUGCUAUCGUGACUCUUAACAUGCGUCGGUGACACAGCCACAGCAGAGUACACAUUCCCAGGGGCCUAAAAGUAUCAGGGCCAUCAAUCAGCACCCAGUCUUAAAAGUGGCUGCUUUGACAAGACGGAGCCAGUGUAACAUGGCUUCGCUAUUUGCUCAGCUAUAAAGUUGGCUAUUAACUAAGUAGUUAAUUGGACCUUCCUGCUGUGGAAACACAGGAGCACUUAGUCCUGCAGGCUGGAAAACACGCUGUUCCUCGGGGACUUUAAAGCCUGGCGAUAACUGAGCAAUGACUAAACACAGCCUUCUUAUGUCAGAUUUUCAGAGGCACUGAGCACGGGAGCUACUGAUGCAGAGCUAUCUUUGAGCCUCAGCUCUCUGCGUGACUUUGAUCGUGUAUUGUAGUCUCUAUGAGCCUCAGUUUCCCGUCCAUACAGUGAGGGUAACAGUGUCUGUCCUCUUUUACUUCAUGGAAGUACAAGGAUUGCCAGGUAAGGUGGAGCAUGUCUGUAAUCCCAGCACUCAGGAGGCUGAAGCAGAAGAAUCACCCCAAGUUCAAGGCCAUCCUUGGCUACACAAUGAGUUCAAAGUCAGCCUGACAUGCAUAGUGAGACCCUAUCUCACAAAACAAGGAUUAAAUUAGAUCAUAGACAGGGAAGAGCUUUAGAGAGUUAAGUACUACAGAGAUAUUAGUUACAAAACCAACCACAGCUAUCACAUUUUAUCAAAAAGGAAACUGAGGCACCAAGAUAGUGAAUAAUUUGGCUAAGGACCAAUUGUAGCUACCCUAAAUCUAGAAUAUGGAUACCUAUGGCCUCUUUUCUUCUCAGUAUAUUAAUCAAUACUUUUUGACAUUUUCAACUUGUACGUAUGAACUAAGUUCUCUAUCCAUGACUCAUUUACAUACCAUUUAUUACCCAGCCAUAAAAAGCCAUUAAAAUUUAACUUCAAGUUUGUUAGAGGCUAAAGUUAAUUACUGUGCAUGUGCAGAUGAAUUACCGAACUUCCAACUGUAGCUGGGCCGGUCCCUGAAGGAAAAAAGUUUUGUUUCUAUUUGCAUGUCAGUGCUUGGCAAAAACUUGUGUAUUUAUAAAGUAGUCACAUGAGAUAAUCUAAACCCUAAAUCUAGUUACUGGGAAGAAUCUUGUAUGAGAGCCAAAACCAUCACUGUACUUUCAGUCUUCCUAAAAUAACCUUCUUACCUUCAAUCUGCCAUAUAUAUGUCAAGCCUGUAAUUUAACUAUUAACAUAAAAAGGACCAUUGUGGCUUUAAAGAUAUCUUAUUGUAAUAUCAUUAACAGAGCCAUUUAUCAAUGAUUUAUCUGAAAACCACAUCCAAAGGCACAUUUUUGAUUGUUUUAAAUAAGACUUUUUUGAGUUUUUCCAUAUCACCUAUGUUAGAUUUGGACUAAGUAAUACCUAAAUUUGGUUCUAAGUUCCUAUAAAUUGGAAUUCAGAAUUUUUAGGCAUAAUUGUUGUUUCCAGCUAUAGUCACAUGGGGAUUGCAGGCUAGUUUCCCUUCUAAAGGGAAGCUAGGCACAUGUGCAACCUUGCAGCCUUAUUACAGAGCUCCUCUCAAAGUCUUUGGGUUUAUACAGUGGUCCAUGGUGCAGCAUACACAGACUUUGUGUCUGAAGAUCUGUCUCAUGUCCGGGCUGGUGGAAGCCUCUGAAUCUCAGUUUUCUGACCUUAUAAAUGGGGUUGUUCCACAGGAAACCCAGACUUCGCUCUAAGAUUAAAGGAACCACAGGCAGCAAGGGAUUCAAGGAAUCUUAAAAAGCUACUGUUGCAAAGCCAGAGAAUUUUUCAGUGUAGAGAGAAGUAAAGCUUUGACUAUUUUUUAUAGCCUCCUUUUUCUGGAGAAAUGGUCAAUUAGUAUCAUUUACAAAAAAGAGAAACAAGCAGCUCCCUGCCUCAUGCAGAGCACACUGAGAAAACCCAGAUGCGGGAAUCUGCAGUGGAGAAGCUGCUCGGUGUCCUUGGUAACAGUUACCGGGAGGCUCUGACAGUUCUCAGCAAGGCAGGCUGUCUUUUCUCUCCACUUGUGUCUAAAGGCAAGAACCCCACUUUGCUUGUGCCUGGGGAAACUGUACCUUCUGCCCCCAAAAGGUAAGAUCAGAGAUCAGAAACCUCGGGCCAAGGCCCAGCAGGUGGCAGGUGCUCAAAGACUGUGGUCAUGUGAGCCCCAGGCCUGGCUCUUUCCCCUCUUCACACUCACUUCCUCAAGAAUCUAUGAGCUUCCGCCUCCUUUCUCUGACAUUGCCAAAAACAAGCCACAAGAAGGCUAACAGCUAGAAUGUCCCUAUGCUGGCAGAAGUGGUUGAGAUGAAUUUCUUUUUUUUUUUUUUUUGUCUUUUUUUGAGACAGGGACUUGCUAUGCAGUUCAGGCUGGCCUUGAACUCCUUUUGUAACCUAAGCUGCUGAACUUGCAACAAUCUUCCUGCCUCAGCCUCCCGCGUGCUAGGAUUACAGGCAUGCACCACCACAUCUGGCUGAGAUAACAUCUUGAGCUGUAUUUCAACACCAAAAAAUUUCUUAUUUCCAAACUUUUAAAUCACUUUAAACAUUCUAUUUCAAUGCUUCUCAGUCCAGCUGCUUUCCUUCAUUCUAAUAACUGUGAAUGGAGGGGUUCAUAUUUUAGUACGUGAAAGUGCGUGGGCAUUCUGCAAGUGAUUUGGAGUGGGAAGGAGCUCCCCUCCCAGAAAGAUUGAAGGGAGUGGGGACUGUGGUGCAGUACAGGUGGACCGGACAAGAGCCCUUACUGGGGUUUGACUCGAUUCUCCAAGGCACCUCCAUUUGGUCACGUUCUCGUGAAUCCGUCUGACUCCUUAUCACCUCAUUGUCUUAGUGCUGGCUACUGCAAUGGAGUGCCACAGACUGGUAGAUUAAACAAAAAGCACUUACUGCUAAUACUUGUGUUGACUGGAAAGUCCAACAUCGAGGUGCUAGAAGAUUCCAUGUCUGGUGAGAGCCUGCUUCCUAGUUAAAUCCACUUUUUACUGUGUCCUCACAAGGCAGAAAAAGGGCUAGAGGACUCACUGAGAACUCCUUUACACAAGAAUAAUCCCUUCCCACAACCUGGUCUCCUCCAAAGCCCCCCCCCCCAAAAAAAACCCAUCACAUUGAGCAGCUAAGACUUUGACAAAGAGCGGAGGGCAACACACUCCAGCCCCUUUCUGCAGGAGUCAGUGCACCCUAAAGGAACAGAACCUUACCUCUUCCCCUUGGAAGGUGUGCUUCCCAGGAAGGCAAAGAUUAAAGCAGUUUAGAUUGCUGCAGACACCCAUCCAUCAGAGGGAAGUUCAAAGGCAGGAACUACUGAAAACAGCUUCAGUAAUUUCUUUUCAUGGACUUGUUAUAUUUAGAGAAAAUAGAGUUUUCCAAGCAACCAGCCUGCUUCCCUGCUAAGCAAUAACGAGCCUAUGGUGCACUGAAAGUCAAACAUCUCACUUACUACCGCCCUUCCCCUGCCCUCCGUUAGCAAAUGGGAACCAGAGAUCUGAGCAUCUCUUGGGAGGUUGACCAUAGCAAAUAAAGGGGGAUUUCCUUCUACCAUCUCUUUGAGAGCAAAUAUUUUUAUUACUGUUAUGCUUUAUUCUGAUUAAUGGUACUGUUUAUUCAAUACUCUGUUUUGAUAAGUUCUAUAAUAUUCUGUAUUUCAUUUUAUUUUGAUAUGCAUGAUUGAAAGAACAACUAUUGUGAAGAUAAUGAGAUAUACUGUGAUACCUAUUACUUUUUUUUUUUUUUUUGUCUUUUUCCUUUUUAUCGAUACCAGGGAUCGAACUCAUGACUGCCUGCUUGCAAGGCAGGUGCUUAUGCCGCUGAGCUAAAUCCCCAGCCCCUUGUGAUACCUAUUACUGUUAUCCCGGUAACCUGCUGUGAAGUUCUGUACCAAUUUCAUUACACUGUCUCAGUUGGCUUUGUUCUGUCUUGUUCUGUUGUAUUUUACUACCUUCAAAAUAAAGAAGAAAAAGAAAAUAGAGUUUUGCAAAGUAAAUUGAACUCAUGCAUUCAUUCAACAAAUAUUUAUUGAGGGCCAGUUUUAAGGCCUCUACUAUUUCAGGUACUAGGGAUACAGGUCAUGAAGAAGACAAGGUCUCAGCCUUCCCAGCAGUUACAUUCCCAUGGAGAUAAGGAGAUGAUAACAAAUAGGUACAUAUACAGGAAGUCGGGUAGUGACAGGAGCAAUGACAGAAAAUAAAACAAGGUGAAGAAGGUAUAGAGUAUCAUUAUGGAUGAGGAAGGGGUGAUUUCUGUUCUGCACAGCAAGAUACCCUAUUGGUUGACAAAAAACGUUUAUCAUGAUCUUGUAGGUUGACUUGGUGAUUGUUUCUUGUGGUCUUCACAAUCACAUGGCAACUGAGUCUGGAGUUAGCUAGAGAUUCAAGUGCACGUGGUAUAUAAGAUGUCUUCAUAUUCAUAUGGCUGGCCCCUCAGCCAGGAAGGCUGGAAUACCUAGGGUCCAGCCAGGCGUCACUGUGACUCCAAACGACCUAUUCCUGUGGCAGGCUUCCUCACGAUAUGCAGGAUUGGGAAGUCAAGCUUCUUAUAUACUGCCUCACCCCUAAAACAAGUGUCCCAAGAAAUCUAGGCAAGAAUUGCAAAGCUUCUAAUGACCUAACUCUCAAAGCCAUGCAGGUAUGACCUCUGACACACUCUAUUGGUUAAAGUGAGCCAUAGGGUCUCCUAGCCCGCAAGAGAGAGGACCAUAGAAGGCUUUGAAUGCUGGAGGGUGUGGUUCAUUGAGAAACCAUUUUUGGACACUAGCUUCCAUAGUUAUUAAGAAGAUGGCCUCAUUGAUAAAGUGAUAUCAGAGGAGAGGUCUCAGGACACAGCGAGCGGGCUGGGUGGGUUCUGGAUUAGGUUUCCUGGCAGAGCAAAUGACAGUACAAAGUCCCAAGGUAGAAAUGGCCAUUGUAUGUUUAAGGAAAACUAGGAGACAUCUGUGACCAGUCAGUGAGGUUAUGAGAGAUGUAGGAAGUCAUCAAAAAGCAAAGGAAGCUCCAUAAGGUGUGUGGUCUUCUAAGCCUGUAAGGACUUCACGUUUAUUUUAGCAAUAUGAGAAGCUAAUUGAAAUACUGAACAGACAAAUGAUAUGAUAUGAAACAGUUAUUACGAUCAUCCGGGCUGACAAAAUAAAGCCUGGAUCAGGGUGAUAGCAGCAAUAAGAGGUAGAUUCAAAUAUACUUUAAAAGGAGAGAUUUCAGUAUUUGCUGAUGUUUUGUGACAUAAAAAGAAUUAAAUCUAGCAUCGGGUUGUUCUGCUGGAGCACCUAGGAGAACAGUGUUGCAAUGUAGAAGACGCCGUGAGCUGUGAUACAACAGCGUGGCCCCCAAGUUUGAUUUCAUAUGUGUUAAUUCCAAGAUGCCUCUUAUAUAACCAUGGGGAAAUGAAAGUCAGUACGAAGCUUAAGUUAUUGGAUCAUGUAUGUGCCCUGGUAUUAUAUAAUUGCAUAUGUUUAUUGUGACACUUGAAAGAAGAAAGAAAAGAUUUGGGUAGCUCACAGUUCUGGAAAAGAUUUGGGUAGCUGACAGUUCUGGAAAAGAUUUGUGUAGCUCACAGCUCUGGGAAAGCUUGAAAACAAUGCUCUCAUCCGGACAAAACUGAAGGGGUGGUAGUACUACGAAAGAAGCCCAUGGUUGUAAUUCAGGCAAACAGAUCUGAACUCAGGCUCCACCUUUUAUUAGCGGCGAGGCAUCAAUGCAUUCCACAAUCAAAGCUUUAGUUUUCUACUCUGUGAUGUAAGCAUAAUGAAACUCCCCUUGGAAUGCAGUUGUGGGAAUUAGUGAGCUAAUGCACAUAAACCAGGUGACACCUGACAGAUUCUCCAUCAAUGGGGGCCGUUUUCCUAGCCCUACCAUGGCCCCUUCCUCCUGUAGACUGCAGAGGAGGGAAGCACACAGAGGGCAGCCCCAACACCUGCAAGCCUGUGUGGCCCCACCCUUCCCUUGGGACAGCACCUGCACACUGUGGGAGGAGCAACGGGCAGCAGCUGGACAGGGUUAACAGCAGGGGAGACCUCAGCAGUCUGUACACCGCCUCCUCCAGGCUGGCCUGGCAAACGUGUGAACUGCAGGUUGGCAGAAAUGCACGCCAGUGUCCCCAGGUGAACCAGGCUUUGUUCACUUUUGAAGUUUCAGACAGAGGAGGCCCAGUAAUGCAAACCAGAUGAGCACAGCUGGCACAGAGCUCCCUCAAAGCUCUCUGACUGCCUAAUAAAUGCAAUGCUCUUGAGCUGCAUGGCACCCAGAGUAGGAGCUGUGGUGUAGCCAGGACUGAGAGGAGGUGUCAGGGCCACCGAACUCCGGGCUCCCCUGUGGCUGGAGAAGUUCCCUGAGCACACCCUGACCUUGCCAUUCCCUCUCAUGUUUUAAAAAGCAAAAUAGGCAUUUCCUUGCCGAAUUCCAUUUCCUUUCCUAUUCCCAUCUCUUCCCCUCACCUUCCCACAGUGAACCCACAAAGCCAAAGCCCAGGGCUGCUAUGUGCUGGGCCCCUGUGGGGAGCAGUGAGGCAACCCCUCUCUGCCUGGCUCAGAUUCUGAGGGUUCUGGUCCGGAAACAGUUAAGUCAUGUUGUUCGGAAGUCCCUUCACAUUAUCCAGAUUUGGCUUAGAGAUAGAUUUAUGCUACUGGUCUUGACUUUUCUCCUUAAUUUACAAAGAGCUCUAUGACCUCAGUCAUUCCAGCGUCUUGUUGGAAUUUUCUGCCCAGUGCAGUUUAUUACAGGGCAGUUGGGGCAAGCGAAGCUGCAACCUGACUCCUGACUCAGGCAGGAUCCCAGCAAAACAGAGGCCGCCAGACCACGAGGCUUCUGCUCAGAUUCCCCUGCAGCAGCCUUCUGUUCCCAGGCUGCAGUGGCUGCAGGAGAUCAGCUGACGGGGGCUGUUUGUCGGCUUGCUGAGCUGCCCUUUCACCUGACUGAAAACUAUCUCACAGCAAUCAGGGCAUCAGGGCUCGUUUGCCAAAGACAGUGACACAGCAGUGUCGUCCAGAGUCCUUCAGUUCAAUGAGCUCCUCACUUUAAGGUCAGAGAACUCUUCACCAACUACAGAAAGGACAAAGAAAAGUCCAUGAGGUUGUGGAAUCACAGAAAAGAAUAAAGUCCCAGUAAUGCGAAGUCUGCCACCCUCGCCCGGUGGCCAGAGCUGGCUCAGGGGAGCUGCUCUGGAGUGGAGCUGUCCGUCACUUGGAAAUUGGGCCUCAUCCUCUGGGAUUUUAAGAAGUUCUUUUUCUCGUAAAGCAGAUUUAUUCCUCCACACUUCUACUCUUUCUGUUACUGGCUUCUAAGCGUAGCCUUUUGGAAGAGGACUUGUUUCUCCUGAGCCCAGCCAAUGCUGUCACCUUUCCUGGCAUAUGAAAUAGCAGAAGGAGACGGAGAGUAAAUGUCAGCAGCCUCAAAUCCAGCUCGGCUUUUUACGAGCCGCAUCAUCAUGGUCCCGGCAGACUCUCCAACCUGUGUUGACUUCAAUCCACCAGCUGUUUAGAGUAGACAAAAACACCCGGAUCUGCCUUCAGAGACACCUCUCAAGGUGUCGAUCAAGCCAGGGACUCCAGUCUUGGUGCAAGGUCACCACCGUGACUCCCUCGAACCCUGCUGGGAAGGACCUUUCACCAUGGUGCUCAGUACCCCCACUGCCAUCAAGGUAACAGAAAAAACUGCGUGGAUUCACUACACUCAUGUAAAGCCACUGGAAACAGUGGACAACGAGGGACAUACUCAGUGGACUACACAGCAGACUGGUAACCCCUUAAAGUUAAAAUUGACUAAGACAUAGUUAGAUUAUGCUGGUCCUGAACUGUUUUAGCUUGCUUGCUUUGAUUUUAAUAACAUUAAUGCUGACCUUGCAUGGCGGCUUUGGUCCCCCUGUAAGCAAAGAACAAUUGUUAAGAUCUUUAUGUAGGAGCUCCUGUGAUUGUGGAGGGGGCUAUAUUACUAAAGGUAAAGACACCAACUGGGGGGAAUUAUAUAUACAAUAGGAAACAAGGAUCAAGAUCCUUCCUACACAAAUGAUAAAUUGUAUACAUACAGUCUUUGGACAGAUUGUGGGGACAAGUUAACAUUCCUUGUUGCUAUACCCUCAGUUACAGGGGGGUUGACUAAAAGGUGGAUGUAAAUGAUAAAGCCCUGUGUGAUACCUAACAAAGGCAGCCAGCCAGGGCCAUGCCCUCAGAAUUGUUCUUAGUAUUCAAAAAUGCAUUCCUCCUGCUAUGACUCUGUACAAGAAUGAAUAGGCAUAGAUAACAAAACUUACUUCACUGCUGAGCUUAUGAGGACAAGGGCUAAAAGAGUUAAAGGUGAUUGGUCAACAAAUCUGACAGUGAUAGGAAGUUCAAAGUAUGCCCAAGCCUCAUGUCUCAACAUGGUUGAUAAAUCAGUGUGCUGGAGCAGGGUGGCCCUAUACAUGUGUCUGAUAGGGGCGGGCCACAAGAUAAGAUCAAAAAACUCUGGUGGUUGAGAAACGAGUCAAGCUGCUAAUAAAAAUAAGCUGCCUAAAUUGCGGGGAGUUGGUCUAGAUGCUCAAACUUAUGAUAUUCUAGAGGCCACUCAUAAAGCCUUAAAUGCUUCCAACCCAACUUUGGCUGAAGAAUUGCUGGUUAUGCAUGGCACAGGGCUCCCCCAUCUGCCUUGCCAUCCCCAACAGUGUUUCUCUGGCUACACUGGAGAAACAAGAUUACUUAAAUUGUAGUGCUGGUCCCCCCUAUAGAGUACAACCAGUAGACUUCAAGGACUCUCUCUGUCUCCAAGGAGGUUUUCAUAACGAUACCUCCAACAUUGACGUGGAAUUCGUUACAUUUACUAAUUGUAGUUCCAUAGUUAACCGGACUACCUCCUUUAUCCUGCCACAGGACAAGUAUUUAUUUGUGGAGGAAAUAUGGCCUAUACUUUCCUCCCAACUAACUGGACAGGGAUAUAUGUAACAGCUGUCCUGUUGCCUGAUACAGAGAUCCUACCCGGGGAUGAGCCUCUCCCCAUUCCUAGUUUAGAUUACAUCACAGGCCACUCAAAGAGGGCAAUUCAAUUUAUUCCUUAUUGAUAGGCUUAGAGAUAUCAAGAGCCUUAGGUAUGGGGGCAACAGGAGUAGGGGUUUCUGUCCAACCUUCCAACCAGAUUGUUAGUGAUAUACAGACAUUAUCUAAUACCAUUCAGGUCAUUCAAGACCAAAUAGACUUGUCGGCUAAAGUAGUUCUCCAAAACAAGAGGGGACUAGACCUACUCCUCCUAAAGGAGGGCGGCCUAUGUGUCGCUCAAAAAAAGAGUGCUGUUUUUAUGUUGCCCAUUCAGACAUAGUAAAAAACACCAUGUCCAAACUCAGAAAAAAUAUCAAAACUAGAGAAAAAAAAAUACUCUUUGGGGACAUCCUUCUCUUCCCUAUGGCAAGGGCUAGCUCCUUAUGUUGUCCCCCUCCUAGGCCCUUUAGCUGCUUUGCUCUUACUCCUUACCAUUGGCCCUUGCGUUCUAAAUAAGUUUACACAUCUGGUGCGAUCACAGGUCUCCCAGGUAAAGAUGAUGGUCUUGAGAUACCAAUAUGACCCAGUACCUACUAAUAAUCUCUAGGAUUAGAGAUCUUCACAAAAAAGGGGGGGAAUGAAACAUUUAAGAAACCCCCUCUUGCCUUGUCACAUGGUCAGAACAACCAGAUGUUCUGGCCUGAUAGGGAACUUGUGGUCCAACGUCCCAAAAAAAUAAGAACACUGUAAACUAUCGUCCCUCCCAGACAGGAUAUGAGUUUUCAAAACAUCAAGCGGAUAACUCACCCACCAAUAAGCAAAUGACACGACCCCUAUUAACCAAUGCCAUCUGCUUCUGUAACCAACGCUUGCUUUGCGGUUUUCGGCUUUAUAUACUCUGCACUCCCCUAGCCGGGCACUCUCCCCACCGGAGUGCGAUCGGAGAGUCCCACGCAUGCGUGGAUAAUAAAACCCCUUGAUUUUUCAUGAGAA